rnacentral:lncRNA from 1 species
CAUCCAGUUUGUAGCAGGGUAACAAACACAAACACUCAACAUUCACCCCCCUGAAAAAAGAAGUCUAGUUCUUGGGGAUGUUCUUGCCGACGAUCUUGGCCGGCGUUAUGCGGAGGAGGUUCCCGGGCUUCCCUGGCACGGCCCCCUUGAUCAUGAGCACCCGGAGGUUGUUGUCGAUCUUGACGAUCUUGAGCUUCCUGAUCUUGGUCUUGGUUCCUCCCAUCCUCCCGGGCAUCUUCUUCCCCUUGUACACGCGGCCCGGCGUCGUCCCGGCUCCGAUGGAACCCAGCUGCCGGUGGCUCUUGGAACCGUGCGUCAUCAGCCCGCGCUUGAAGUUGUGCCUCUUGAUGCCACCUGCGCAGUGCCACAAGUAAAACCGCGCGCGAGCGGAUCAAGAACGUUGCAAGCUAGGAGAUUGCACAAGUGGCAUAGCAAUCGCAAAUGCAAACCUUUGAAACUACAGCUACAGCAAAUGCUGCUAAAACUUCACUCUCCAUGAAACGGAACAAUGACACAUACAACCGAGGCUGGCAGAUCAUUAGCAGAAUUGCUGUUGCUGGCAAUGCAAUCGCACUAUUGGAUGGAGGCGCGAGAAUCGGUGUACUACCUUGGAACCCCUUGCCGAUGGAGUUGCCGGAGACGUCGAUGAGGUCGCCCUCCUUGAAGAGGUCGGCGAAGUCGAGGG